GGAGGAAGAGGCAGGCACAAGACAAAAUGAAUCUCUCCGCUGUGCACAUGGAGCCUUAGCUCUGAUUCCAGUUGAGCAAAAUUAUGAAGAAGAUGAUUCCCCAUAUGGAUGACAGAUAAACACCCUGUGGCGAGUCACUCACUCCCGAAAGGCCCUCUGAAGGAUCGCGCAUGUCCUGACUGCACAGCCUGCUCCUUUUAUCAUGUACUAGGCUCUGCGGUAGGUUCUGGGAAUACAGACUUGAACCAGACAUGCUUUCAGGCCAUCUGCAGGACAAAGCAAAUGUUACAGAAGUUAAGUGACUUGCUCAAGG
rnacentral:lncRNA from 10 species